rnacentral:rRNA from 1 species
AUGGGUGUUUUUGAUUCUGAAACUAAUGAGAAUUGGACCUGGUUCAUGCAAAUGGUUAGACAAGCCAUAGGAUCCCCAAGGGGUUUAACCAUAUGCAUCGAUGCUGGGCAACCAGUGAUGACAGGUGUAAAAGAAGUGUUCCUAGAGGCUGAACAUAGGGAAUGUAUGUUUCACUUGGUGUCCAACUUCAAGAAGAAGUUUCAUGGGAAGGUGUUUGAUGACCACCUUUGGGCUGCUGCUUACUCAUGGAACCCAUAUAUAUUUGAAAAAAAUUGGGCUGCAAUGGACAUAGCAAAGCCAGCGGCAACUGCAUAUCUUAGGAGGUGGCACACUAGGUUGUGGUCUAGGAGUCAGUUCUCAACAAUUCCCAAGGUGGAUUAUGUUACAAACAACUUGGCUGAGUGCUUCAAUAAUUGGAUUAAGCAUCACAAGUCGUUGAACUUGGACGACUUCUUUGAUAAGGUUAGGCAGAUGAUUAUGAUCAUGUGGAACCGAAGGAGGAAAGUAGCAAGGAAGUUGGUUGGGUUGAUUCUUCCCCACAUAAUUAAGAAGUUGAAUGCAAAGACUAGAGAAUUAAACUUGGAGGUGGUAGAAAGCUUAGAAGAAGUCGCUGAAGUGACAGCAUUGGGAGGCAGCGGCUUUAGGUUUGUGGUCAACUUGCUUGACAGGACAUGUUCUUGUAGACAAUGGCAAGUUUCUAGCAUUCCUUGCAAGCAUGGUCUAGCAUUUAUCACAUCUCUUAUCAAUGCACACAUACAAAAUUAUGUGGACUUGUAUUACUCCAUUGACAAAUUUAGGGCAGCCUAUGACCAACUAAUUCCUGCCAUGGUUGACAAGAACCAAUGGCCUAAAUCUGACCAAGGAUUCUUCAUGUUUCCACCACUACUAAAAUCCACGGCGGGUAGGCAUAAAACUGAGAGGUAUAAAGGCUGCAGUGAGAAGAAAAGAAAAAGUGGCCAACACGUAUGCCCUAUUUGUAAGGACUAUGGGCAUCAUUGGCAUAAAUGCAAGAAGGGUAACCCAGAUGACAUUGCUGCUAUUUUAGCUGUGAGGAUGAUUAGGCAGCCACCUCAGCAACCUCGCUUAUGUGUCACUGUCUAG